rnacentral:rRNA from 1 species
UACAGAGGUCUCAAGCGUUGUCCGGAAUCAUUGGGCGUAAAGAGCGUGUAGGCGGCUUGUUAAGUCUUGCGUGAAAUCUCGGGGCUCAACCCCGAGCGGUCGUGAGAAACUGGCAGGCUAGAGUGCGGGAGAGGAGAGUGGAAUUCCUGGUGUAGCGGUGAAAUGCGCAGAUAUCAGGAAGAACACCCGUGGCGAAGGCGGCUCUCUGGAACGCAACUGACGCUGAGACGCGAAAGCGUGGGGAGCAAACAGG